rnacentral:rRNA from 1 species
UACGUAGGGUGCAUGCGUUAAUCGGAAUUACUGGGCGUAAAGCGUGCGCAGGCGGUGAUGUAAGACAGUUGUGAAAUCCCCGGGCUCAACCUGGGAACUGCAUCUGUGACUGCAUCGCUGGAGUGCGGCAGAGGGGGAUGGAAUUCCGCGUGUAGCAGUGAAAUGCGUAGAUAUGCGGAGGAACACCGAUGGCGAAGGCAAUCCCCUGGGCCUGCACUGACGCUCAUGCACGAAAGCGUGGGGAGCAAACAGG